AUGGAUGGGUGGAUGGAUAGAUAGAUAGAAUGAUAGAUAGAUGGAAUGACAGAGAAACCAUGUGAGGAGCUAUGGUUUCCCACCAUAUAUGGAGAGUGUAAUCCUUCCCUAUAUUUUUCCCUGCAGACAUGUGAGAUUUUCUGAUACCAAAUCAGUUCACCUGCCCACCCCCCACCAGAUUGAGAUGGAUUUCAUCAGGAGGGGAAAAAUCUACUUAGGAAGGAAAUUAGAGGCAAAAUUGGGGUUAAUCCUUUUAGCUGUGUUUUCUUUUGUUCAACCCACAAGGCUCAGAUAGAUGUGAUCAGCCCAUCCUGUCUGUGGCUCUUCCUCUGAGGCUGAGAUGGCCUGGUCUGGCCUGGGACAGAAGGAGGCCACAGAAGGAAGGGGACUAGGCCCACCACUGGGAUUUCAUUAGAAGACAGUUGUAGAAGAGUGUGGCAUAGACCCUGGAGCCAAACUGUAUGGGUUCAAAUCCCAGAUUUGCCACAUGCCAACUUCCUGACUUCAACAAGUUACUUAACCUCUCUUUGCCUUAGUUUCCUUAUUGAUAAAGGAGAUAAUAAUUAUGCAUACCUUGCACAAUUAAAGUGAGGAUCAAUGAGUUGAUACAACCAAAGUGCUUAGAUCAAAGACUGCCAUACAGCCUUUACAAAAGGGGGUGAAUCAAAGCUCUCUUUAGAUUCCCUGACUAAGCAAGUUCACUACACAAAAGAUGAGACUUUAACCCCCACAAGAAGAUAAUCAGAUUUAACUAACUCAGUUUUAGGUUCAAG
rnacentral:lncRNA from 1 species